GACGGAGGAUGCAAGUGUUAUCCGGAAUCACUGGGCGUAAAGCGUCUGUAGGUGGUUUAAUAAGUCAACUGUUAAAUCUUGAGGCCCAACCUCAAAAUCGCAGUCGAAACUAUUAGGCUAGAGUAUAGUAGGGGUAAAGGGAAUUUCCAGUGGAGCGGUGAAAUGCGUAGAGAUUGGAAAGAACACCGAUGGCGAAGGCACUUUACUGGGCUAUUACUAACACUCAGAGACGAAAGCUAGGGUAGCAAAUGGG
rnacentral:rRNA from 1 species